rnacentral:rRNA from 1 species
GACGAACGCUGGCGGCGUGCUUAACACAUGCAAGUCGAACGGAAAGGCCAUGCUUUUGUGGGGUGCUUGAGUGGCGAACGGGUGAGUAACACGUGAGUAAACUGCCCUUGACUUUGGGAUAACUUCAGGAAAAUGGGGCUAAUACCGGAUAGGAGCUCCUGCUGCAUGGUGGGGGUUGGAAAGUUUCGGCGGUUGGGGAUGGACUCGCGGCUUAUCAGCUUGUUGGUGGGGUAGUGGCUUACCAAGGCUUUGACGGGUAGCCGGCCUGGGAGGGUGACCGGCCACAAUGGGACUGAGAGACGGCCCAGACGCCUACGGGAGGCAGCAGUGGGGAACAUUGCACAAUGGGCGGAAGCCUGAUGCAGCAACGCCGCGUGCGGGAUGACGGCUUUCGGGUUGUAAACCGCUGUCGCCUGUGACGAAGCGUGAGUGACGGUAAUGGGUAAAGAAGCACCGGCUAACUACGUG